rnacentral:rRNA from 1 species
UACGUGGGGGCCGAGCGUUGUCCGGAAUUACUGGGCGUAAAGAGCUCGUAGGUGGUUUGUCGCGUUGUUCGUGAAAACUCACAGCUUAACUGUGGGCGUGCGGGCGAUACGGGCAGACUGGAGUACUGCAGGGGAGACUGGAAUUCCUGGUGUAGCGGUGGAAUGCGCAGAUAUCAGGAGGAACACCGGUGGCGAAGGCGGGUCUCUGGGCAGUAACUGACGCUGAGGAGCGAAAGCGUGGGGAGCGAACAGG